CCUCGUCAACGCUGUGGAAUGAAGUUCGGCACAUGAACAUAUGAUGGCUUUCAGAUUGAUUUUCAGCUGCAACACCAUCCCAUAGGGGGCAUUAAUGCCAGCCUCAAUGGCACUGCAGGAUUCAUACUGCUCCCCGAUGCUGGAGAAAAGGCCUCGCAGAUUGAAGAGGUAGUACGCGCCAUGUAGAUGGACUGUGGGGAUAAUAAAAAGGCCGAGCCGGUCCGCAUGCACAAAGGUUUUCUCUACAGUAUCCCACCUAUGUUUAUGGGCUUUGAACUUGUCGAGUAGCUGAUACAUAGCAAAGCAGCUUCUCGCCAGAUCAUGGUAAUAUAUCACUCGAAGUCAAGAAUGGCUGUUCACUGUGUCUUUUUCAAAACACAUAUUCAAAAGGCAUUUUCUGAGUAUGACUUCUUUUCCAACUUUCCAACGGUAUUGUCCUCAAAAGCAUAGGUGAAGGAAGACACCACUUUUUGAAAGUUUAAU